UACCUGCACCAAAAGAUGACCAAAACUCAAGCGCAGAAGCAACGACUUACCUUGAACAGGGAGCAGUUCAUGAUGGUUGUUCCUCGUUGGUGCUACGGAAGGCAUGACGGAUGGGCGAGUUUGGUGGAUAGGUGGCUCGGCGACGAUGCAGAGUUUGCUGCCAAGAGCAUCAAGGCCCAGGCUAACCGUGGAAAAGACGGGACACGCGGCCAAGGAAACAGGAACCACUGGGGCUUCAAGGCCAUGAAGGAGGACAAGUUGAAGAGGCCGCUCUCAGACAUUGAGUCGUGGAAGCUGGCCCGCGAGCGGAGUGAUCGCAAG
rnacentral:rRNA from 1 species